GGGAAGUGCCGCGUGCUUAACAUGCAAGUCGAACGAGGUCCAUGGGUUCGCAAGAACCCGGAAGACCUAGUGGCGAACGGGUGCGUAACACGUGAGGAACCUACCCCAGAGACCGGGAUAACCCCUCGAAAGAGGAGCUAAUACCGGAUGUGCUCAUCGGAUCACCUGGUCUGAUGAGGAAAUGGAUUCCGCUCUGGGAUGGCCUCGCGGCCUAUCAGCUUGUUGGUGGGGUAGCGGCCUACCAAGGCGACGACGGGUAGCUGGUCUGAGAGGACGAUCAGCCACACUGGGACUGAGACACGGCCCAGACUCCUACGGGAGGCAGCAGUUAGGAAUCUUGCGCAAUGGGCGAAAGCCUGACGCAGCAACGCGCGUGGGGGAUGAAUGCUCCUCGGGUUGUAAACCCUUUCAUCGGGGUAUAUUUAUGACGGUACCCGAGAAGAAGGACGGCAACUACUGCCACUUCGCGGUAUACGAGGUCCAGCGUGGUCGGUUUAUGGGCUAAGAGUCGAGGCGUUCGUAGUGAAGUAAACUCAGGUCUCCGGAGCGCACUGUCCUGCAGACUUGGUCGUAGGGAUCGAUCUGUGUAUUGUGAUCUCUUUUUUUUUACCAAGCCAAGCCGAUCAGCAGCUGAGAUAUCUAUGUUGUACACGAUGAUCCCGAAUCUCAAUUUGCUUGUGUGUCAUCUCUGCCG
rnacentral:rRNA from 1 species